GAAGGCAGGGAGGUGCGCGAGGACAUCUCAUUAAGUGCCUUUUUUUUUCAUAUUUUUUUUUUUUCCUUGAAGUCAGACAAACUCCCUCUUUCCCUCCCUUUUUUUUCAUCAAUUCCUAUUUAUUUGAAUUUCCUCUUACUUAUUUGAAAUGCAUCCAGGAAUGCCAUGAGAAGGAUUUUUUUUUUCUCUGAACUUCUAACAGGGGAGGCAAAGAAUAUAAAUUUCAUUUUUUUAUUUUUACUUCCUUUAGCGAGGCUGUUCAGAGAAAGGAAUAUGCAGAGACUGAGUGAAUCCAUUUAAUACAUUUGGAUCAUUAUCUUUUGAACCUUUAGGAGGAACUUUAUCCUUUAUAUGUGGACACAAAGUCAUAAAAUAUUACCUUUCCACAGGGCCUCCCUCUCCACUGUUUAUUCGUGUAAAGUAGCACUUUUUAAGAGAGAGUCUUUCUCCCAGGCUUUGGAGGCUGCUCGUGUCUCAAAACCUGUCAUACUCCCUCCGGAGGAAGGAGAGAUCAUGUCUCAUCUGGCUCCCCACUCAGUUGAAUCUUUUGGGCGAUGUGGAUGGUACUGAUGGAUGAGAAGAGAGGAAGAAAGCAAAGCCUGAGGGAGGUUUGGAAAAUUAAGCAGGCUGGAGGACGAAUGAGGCAUGAAAUAAAUGUUCAAGCUUUUCUUAGCGAACAGCAAGGAAGCUGAGCUAUAAGGCAUGUUGUUAAUGUGUGAUGAUUCACCCAGCACUCCAAAAUAUUCUGACAGUUUUUCAGCAUUACACUCAGCGUCUUUCUGACCCUUUCUCCUGCACCAUUCUGGUUACUGUGAAGUGCUUCUGUGUGGUCCCUUGUCAGAACAUCACGGAGCACUUGAAUCCUGUGUCACCCAGACAUACGGGACGAGGCGUGUUCUGGACUUCAGCCUCUCAGCCUUGAAAGCCAUUUACCACAGUUUACAAUGGAAUCCCCGUGAGUCCAAAAUACAGCUUUCAGAGUCUCCGUAUCACAUCUGCGUCUCGUGGCUGACUAAGAAGCUGAUCCCAGAUCCAGUCUGCUGCCUCCGCGUCCACAGCCUUUUCCACAGGGGUUUUUCCCAGGCAGGGCUGUUCAACAGGCAGAGAGGGGCUGCAGUGAUCUGGGAACGGUGGGGAGAUGGAGGAGCGUUGUGUGGUGGAAGCAGGAGUCUACCUAUUGCACCUCUUUUCCUGUUACGGAGCAGACAGAAGAUCCAUGGAGACAGAAAAAGAUGCCAGGAAGUCUGUAACACUUGAUGGCUCCAAAGUUAAUUAUCAAAGUCUGCAGGGGUCGUCUCUGGCUAAGUUAUUCACAAGCGAGUGCCUCAACGCAGCAAGUCUUCAAGCGGUGACAGGAGUGUGAUAGAUUUUGCUACCGGUUCAUGCCCUGAUCAGUGGAGAACAUUUCUUCCCCUGGGAUUCCCAAACUGUUGACAGCUGACAUCUAGCAACAUGCCGUCCUGUGAUAUGUGAAAGGAUAACAGGAAAAAUAGUGUCUGCUUCCUGAUGAGGGGAAUUUGGCUUAUCUGUGCUUCCCUGUGUCCCUGGGGACUUCAAAGAAACACCAGACACUUUGGUGCUAUGCACAAAAGUGAGUGAGGAAGAGGUGAGAGCACAGUUAACUUGGCGUCUUGUCCUUCACCGUGGCCUGAAGCAGGUGAGGAAGAAAUGUCUAAUCCUGUUUUGGAGCUGUCUACAUUCUUGGCCUAUCUACAUCCUCCUGUCCCUGGGAAUUUUCCCCUCAGACAACUGGACUGUGCUAGAAAUGAAUGUUCCUGUCAAAAACCUGCAGAGAGGUUCUGCUGGGGAGAAGACGUUCAGUGGGAGCCUGUGGUGGUCUUGUGAGUUCAGGGCGAAUGUUGGGUUUCAUGCUGCUCCACUGUUGGUUUAUUCAGGAAUAGCCCAAGCCAAAAGCACCCCAGUUCUCAGCAGCAACUGAGCCUGCUGGAUUCAGCCCCUGGAGCUGCAGG